AACGCACGAGACCUGCGGACCUGCGGAGGGAUCAUUACCGAGUUUACAACUCCCAAACCCCUGUGAACAUACCACUUGUUGCCUCGGCGGAUCAGCCCGCUCCCGGUAAAACGGGACGGCCCGCCAGAGGACCCCUAAACUCUGUUUCUCUAUAUGUAACUUCUGAGUAAAACCAUAAAUAAAUCAAAACUUUUAACAAUGGAUCUCU
rnacentral:misc_RNA from 1 species